ACGGAAGGCAGCAGUGGGGAAUAUUGCACAAUGGGCGCAAGCCUGAUGCAGCAACGCCGCGUGAGGGAAGACGGUCUUCGGAUUGUAAACCUUUGUCUUUGGUGAAGAAGCAAUGACGGUAGCCAAGGAGGAAGCCACGGCUAACUACGUGCCGGCAGCCGCGGUAAUACGUAGGUGGCAAGCGUUGUCCGGAAUUACUGGGUGUAAAGGGAGCGCAGGCGGGACAGCAAGUUGGAUGUGAAAUACCGAGGCUUAACCACGGAGCUGCAUCCAAAACUGUUGUUCUUGAGUGGAGUAGAGGCAGGCGGAAUUCCGAGUGUAGCGGUGAAAUGCGUAGAUAUUCGGAGGAACACCAGUGGCGAAGGCGGCCUGCUGGGCUUUAACUGACGCUGAGGCUCGAAAGUGUGGGGAGCAAACAGGAUUAGAUACCCUGGUA
rnacentral:rRNA from 1 species